rnacentral:rRNA from 1 species
UACGUAGGGACCGAGCGUUGUCCGGAAUCAUUGGGCGUAAAGAGCGUGUAGGCGGCCACUUAAGUCCUGCGUGAAAUCUUGCGGCUCAACCGCAAGCGGUCGUGGGAAACUGGGUGGCUAGAGUGCGGGAGAGGAGAGUGGAAUUCCUGGUGUAGCGGUGGAAUGCGCAGAUAUCAGGAAGAACACCCGUGGCGAAGGCGGCUCUCUGGAACGCAACUGACGCUGAAACGCGAAAGCGUGGGGAGCAAACAGG